GACGAACGCUGGCGGCGUGCUUAACACAUGCAAGUCGAACGAAGAGCGAUGGAAGCUUGCUUCUAUCAAUCUUAGUGGCGAACGGGUGAGUAACGCGUAAUCAACCUGCCCUUCAGAGGGGGACAACAGUUGGAAACGACUGCUAAUACCGCAUACGAUCUAAUCUCGGCAUCGAGGAUAGAUGAAAGGUGGCCCCUACAUGUAAGCUAUCACUGAAGGAGGGGAUUGCGUCUGAUUAGCUAGUUGGAGGGGUAACGGCCCACUAAGGCGAUGAUCAGUAGCCGGUCUGAGAGGAUGAACGGCCACAUUGGGACUGAGACACGGCCCAGACUCCUACGGGAGGCAGCAGUGGGGAAUCUUCCGCAAUGGACGAAAGUCUGACGGAGCAACGCCGCGUGAGUGAUGACGGCCUUCGGGUUGUAAAGCUCUGUUAAUCGGGACGAAAGGCCUUCUUGCGAAUAGUGAGAAGGAUUGACGGUACCGGAAUAGAAAGCCACGGCUAACUACGUG
rnacentral:rRNA from 1 species